rnacentral:rRNA from 1 species
CAAGUCGAACGGAAAGGCCCUGCUUGCAGGGUACUCGAGUGGCGAACGGGUGAGUAACACGUGGGUGAUCUGCCCUGCACUUCGGGAUAAGCUUGGGAAACUGGGUCUAAUACCAGAUAGGAACCAUCUUUAGUGUGGUGGUUGGAAAGUUUUUUCGGUGUAGGAUGAGCUCGCGGCCUAUCAGCUUGUUGGUGGGGUAAUGGCCUACCAAGGCGGCGACGGGUAGCCGGCCUGAGAGGGUGUACGGCCACAUUGGGACUGAGAUACGGCCCAGACUCCUACGGGAGGCAGCAGUGGGGAAUAUUGCACAAUGGGCGCAAGCCUGAUGCAGCGACGCCGCGUGGGGGAUGAAGGCCUUCGGGUUGUAAACUCCUUUCGCUAGGGACGAAGCUUUUUGGUGACGGUACCUAGAUAAGAAGCACCGGCUAACUACGUGCCAGCAGCCGCGGUAAUACGUAGGGUGCGAGCGUUGUCCGGAAUUACUGGGCGUAAAGGGCUCGUAGGUGGUUUGUCGCGUCGUCUGUGAAAUUCUGGGGCUUAACUCCGGGCGUGCAGGCGAUACGGGCAUAACUUGAGUGCUGUAGGGGUAACUGGAAUUCCUGGUGUAGCGGUGAAAUGCGCAGAUAUCAGGAGGAACACCGAUGGCGAAGGCAGGUUACUGGGCAGUUACUGACG